CCUACGGGAGGCAGCAGUUAGGAAUCUUGCACAAUGGGCGAAAGCCUGAUGCAGCGACGCCGCGUGGGCGAAGAAGGCCUUCGGGUCGUAAAGCCCUUUUCUGGGGGAAGAGGAAGGACGGUACCCCAGGAAUAAGUCUCGGCUAACUACGUGCCAGCAGCCGCGGUAAAACGUAGGAGGCGAACGUUAUCCGGAUUUACUGGGCGUAAAGCGCGCGAAGGCGGCUUCGCAAGUCGGGCGUGAAAUCUCCCGGCUCAACGGGGAGGGGCCGUUCGAUACUGCGAGGCUUGAGGACGGGAGAGGGGAGUGGAAUUCCCGGUGUAGCGGUGGAAUGCGCAGAGAUCGGGAGGAACACCAGUGGCGAGGGGGGCUCCCGGGCCCGGUCCUGACGCUCAAGCGCAAAAGCGUGGGGAGCGAACGGGAUUAGAUACCCUGUAGU
rnacentral:rRNA from 1 species